rnacentral:rRNA from 1 species
CACGUAGGGGGCAAGCGUUGUUCGGAAUUACUGGGCGUAAAGCGCGCGUAGGCGGUCAUGCAAGUCAGGGGUGAAAUCCCGGAGCUUAACUCCGGAACUGCCUUUGAAACUGCAUUGCUGGAGUGUGUGAGGGGAUAGCGGAAUUCCUAAUGUAGAGGUGAAAUUCGUAGAUAUUAGGAGGAACACCGGUGGCGAAGGCGGCUAUCUGGCACACAACUGACGUUGAGGCGCGAAAGCGUGGGGAGCGAACAGG